rnacentral:rRNA from 1 species
UAGGCGGACGGGUGAGUAACGCGUAAGAACUUGCCCUUUAGACUGGGAUAACAGAGGGAAACUUCUGAUAAUACUGGAUAAGUUAGUAUAUCGCAUGAUAUGCAAAUGAAAGCUACGGCACUAAAGGAGAGCUUUGCGUCCUAUUAGCUAGUUGGUAAGGUAAGAGCUUACCAAGGCGAUGAUAGGUAGCCGGCCUGAGAGGGUGGACGGCCACAAGGGGACUGAGAUACGGCCCUUACUCCUACGGGAGGCAGCAGAU